rnacentral:lncRNA from 1 species
AAGAGGUACAGACUGACCCUAUAUCAAAAACCAAAAAAAAAAAAAUAAAAAUUCUGACUGCCAGUAUAUCAGAAUACAACUCUCUUUGGAGACAGAACUUCAAAGAAGUGAUUAAGGUAAAAUGAAGCUACAUGGAUGGGCCUUGGUUCCAUAUGCUGAGUGUCCCGAGAAGAGAUGAGAAUAUAGAAGACGGAUGCUGUGAACAGAGAUAAAGGUCAGGGACCUUGGCAGAAACUCCCUGCCAGAGCCUCCAUCUUGGACUUCCAGCCUCCAGAGCUACGAGACAAUGAACUGCUAAUGUUGAAGCCACCAGCCUAUGGUGAUCUGUCAACAUACAAGUCACUGGUCUGUGCUUCUGAUGGAGAUGAAGAGACCUAAUGGAUCUCACUAAAUUAGCCCUGGGCAACUGAACAAAAAUAAGUCAUAUUUUCCCAAGUUCACUUUGGUAGCUACUUCUAUCCCAGCCCCAGGGAUGUCUGGUCAUGGUGGCAGACUGCAACCCCCAGCUGUCACCUUAGGUAUGGCCAAGUAGCCUUCUGAGUUGUUCACUAAGAAGACAAGUGAGCGGGCUGGUGAGAUGGCUCAGUGGGUAAGAGCACCCGACUGCUCUUCCAAAGGUCCGGAGUUCAAAUCCCAGCAACCACAUGGUGGCUCACAACCAUCCGUAACAAGAUCUGAUGCCCUCUUCUGGUGUGUCUGAAGACAGCUACAGUGUACUUACAUAUAAUAAAUAAAUAAAUCUUUAAAAAAAAAAAAAAGAAGACAAGUGAGCAAGUGGGCAGUGCUGUAGACCCUGGCCAAGAUCCCUAAAGAUCAGUACAAACACCCCAAAGGUCUAAAGACCCCCAGAUCAGAACCACAAAAUACAAAACGGAAAAAGAUGGUGCUUAAGGUAUAUAUACAACUCAGUAGUGGAGGGUUGGCUCCAAUCCUCAGCACUACAAAAAUAAAACCAUAAAGCAAUUAUUGAACUCAGGGCCUUAGUUCAACCUAGCAUAAUGCCUUCUAAAGGAAUAGGUCAAAAGUCAAGCACAGGAAUGCUUAUCACUGUGGUACGUCAAAAUCGAUAACUGAUUACAUGAAAUACUCUUACAGACAACCUAAACAGCUUUAACAAGAUUGAUUGAUCAGUAACCACAGUAAGUCAGUGUAUUCUGUCCAGUCACCCAAAGAGCCGUGUUCUGGUGAAACUUGCAUUCUUCAUAAACGCAAACGCAAGCAUGCCUCUUCAUUUCCUCCAUUUCCUGGGAGAAGUUUCAGUGUUUCAUCCCCUUCCAUGCACAAAACUGACAAUGAUGCAUUCUAAUUAAACAUGUUUUUCAUG